rnacentral:rRNA from 1 species
GGAGGGUGCAAACGUUGUUCGGAAUUACUGGGCAUAAAGCGCACGUAGGCGGUUCACUCAGUCAGGUGUGAAAGCCCUCGGCUCAACCGAGGAAAUGCACUUGAUACUGGUGGGCUAGAGAACGGUAGGGGUAAGCGGAACUCCAGGUGGAGCGGUGAAAUGCGUAGAUAUCUGGAGGAACACCGGUGGCGAAAGCGGCUCACUGGACCGUAACUGACGCUGAGGUGCGAAAGCCAGGGGAGCAAACGGGGGAUUAGAUACCCCGGUAGUCCUGGCCGUAAACGAUGGGCACUAGGCAGGGGGGAAGCCCUAUGUUCUUCUCUGCCGGAGCAAAUGUGUUAAGUGCCCCGCCUGGGGAGUACGCUCGCAAGGGUA